rfam:Sclerotinia borealis F-4128 unplaced genomic scaffold scaffold00127, whole genome shotgun sequence.
GCCUCUGUGGCACAAUUGGUUAGCGCGUGGGCCUUUUAAGCCCAAGGUUGAGGGUUCAAACCCCUCCAGAGGCU